rnacentral:rRNA from 1 species
UAGGGAAUCUUCGGCAAUGGACGAAAGUCUGACCGACCAACGCCGCGUGAGUGAAGAAGGUUUUCGGAUCGUAAAACUCUGUUGUUCGAGAAGAACAAGGACGUUAGUAACUGAACGUCCCCUGACGGUAUCUAACCAGAAAGCCACGGCUAACUACGUGCCAGCAGCCGCGGUAAUACGUAGGUGGCAAGCGUUGUCCGGAUUUAUUGGGCGUAAAGCGAGCGCAGGCGGUUUCUUAAGUCUGAUGUGAAAGCCCCCGGCUCAACCGGGGAGGGUCAUUGGAAACUGGGAGACUUGAGUGCAGAAGAGGAGAGUGGAAUUCCAUGUGUAGCGGUGAAAUGCGUAGAUAUAUGGAGGAACACCAGUGGCGAAGGCGGCUCUCGGGUCUGUAACUGACGCUGAGGCGCGAAAGCGUGGGGAGCAAACAGG